CAGUAGCCGCGGGAAUACGAGGGGGGCAAGCGUUGUUCGGAAUUAUUGGGCGUAAAGGGUGCGUAGGCGGCUUGACAAGUCUUGUGUGAAAUCUAUGGGCUCAACUCAUAGUCUGCACGGGAAACUGUCGGGCUUGAGAAUGGGAGAGGUGAGUGGAAUUUCCGGUGUAGCGGUGAAAUGCGUAGAUAUCGGAAGGAACACCUGUGGCGAAAGCGGCUCACUGGACCAUAACUGACGCUGAUGCACGAAAGCUAGGGGAGCAAACAGGAUUAGAUACCCCGGUAGUCCCUGUCUCUUAUAC
rnacentral:rRNA from 1 species